GGGGGUGUGGCUCAGUUGUUAGAGCGUUCGCUUAGCAGUUUCUAUACUGCGAAAGGUCCUGAGUUCGAUUCUUAGCUUCUCCA
rnacentral:tRNA from 1 species